AUGCAAAGAAAAGCUGCGGAGGAAAGAAGCGUCUCAGUUUGCAAAUCUCCCAAAAUUGGUGGGCCAGGCCAUGGUCGAUCCAGACCACUCACCACUCAGACAGUGUUAUCAGAUGAGGAUGUAAGAGCAGCUAUUGCUCUUUUGAGACACUCUGCUGAUGAAGACAUCCGUAAAAAGAUGAAAGCUACCUUCAUUUAUCGGCAUUCAAUGGUCAGCGAUGAAAAGAAUGCAGCAGAUGUCUUCAUAGGCCUGAUGCGGUUUCUGGACACACCAGGACUGAUAGAACAAGAUUUCCGACUCCUGUUUUGUGAGGUCACUGCCAGCAAAUCCUUGGAGAGGUGGCCCAUCAAUCUCAAAGCAAAGGUUGUAAAGGAAAGUCAUGGACUUGUCUCCACCUCAGAGCUCUUGGAGUUAAUGUGCAAUGCUGAGUCAGGUACUGAAGUUGAGAAUGGUAUGAUUGUGACUCAUUUUAUUUGCCAUUGUUGGUUAUAUAGGUAAUUCUGUCAAUUGAAUGUAUUUUUGAAAUAAUUUUUUGUUUAUUCGUCUGUAGGCUAGGACAGUGACAUGUCUACUAUCUUGCUGCUGCUACAUCUGCUACCACCAUUUGCACAAGGGUGAAAGAGACCAGGAAAGAUGUCUGCAUCUCAAGCUGUCAAUAACCUCAUCAAAUUCCCAAAGGUAUGUUGUUUAAAAUAUACAUUCCAUCACCUCUAUUUUCAUGGACAGUGAGGUGAGCUAAUCUACUGUCAGAGGAUAGUCACUUAAUACUGUUGUUUAAUGUGUUGUUGUAGGCUGGAACCAGUGAAUAGCAGUAUCUAGACAACAGCAGUCAGCCCUACCUUCUUGCAUGGGGAUCCACAAGAAGCAGCAUUCACACCUUCAUUGUGAUUGACAAGCAUGCACUUCCAUGUAAAGCGACAGGUUCAGUAGUGAUGAACUCUUUAGGGCCCAUUAUGUCUUUGGUACAUCAUACAGUUCAUCGCUGUCCAACUUUUUUCACUUUUCUGCAAACAACUAUGACAUUGGGGAAACGCCAUAUUGCUUUCUCUAGUGAGCAUAAUAGAACUGUAUGCUAAUGUGAAUUGUAAGGGCUUGUUACGUUAAUUAAAUGACACUGAAAUGAGAAACAUAAUAAAUGCUGUUACUUUAACCUGUAUGUUUGUUGUUAUUUCCAUAAUAUAGGAUAGAUCACAGUUAUUUAGUAAUAUAGCAUCAUAAGAUGAAUAUGAAAAAAUAACACUACAGAGAAAUAAAAAGGAUAUAUUAUUACACAUCAGAGUGUUAUUAUUAAACUAAAUUUGGAGUAAAAAUAGCUCUAUAAAGUGUAAUCAAAUUACUCUGAACAGUGUGAAUAACCCUCAGUGUUAAAUAUUUUUACACAUUUUGUUGUUAAUUUUGACACUAAAUUGAGUACAAUUAACACUGAAAAGUUAACACUGGUCAUAGAGUAAAUUUAACUCUAAUUUUGAGUGGGACCAAAUGUUAUCUGAAGCAGAGUUAAAAUCAACUCUCUAAGUGUAAAAUUGACACUUGUUUUUUUUACUGUGUACUUGAUGCCACAUUAUUGGAGCGUUAGUGCAGCUUCCCACCAUCAUUAUCAAGCACAUCUCAUGACAAAGUCACACUCACAGACACUCACACUACAAGACUGAUUUAUGUAUCUGUAUAUUUUCAUAUUUGUGGUUGAUGUUUACAGGUACAGCAGCUAGUGAUACAGACUGUUAGCCUAGACAUUGUUGUACAUACCAUAAUAUGUAAUAACUCAUAUAACAAUGAUAGAAAUGAAUAAAUAAACACAUAAACAAGAGGAGCCUCUACAGAAUUUAUAGCUCAUCUUGUAAAAGCAAACCGUGUUAGGCACAACGGUGCAUUCAGAUCAUAAUUCUGAUUACAAAAGCUGCCAGACAGCUAGUAUUUUGAAAAAAAUAAUAAAACAAAUUCAACUUUUCACAGCCAGUUUUACAAAGAUUUGUGGUAAAUGUUAUUAGCAUCCAAGCCAGAG
rnacentral:lncRNA from 1 species